GUGCUGCCAGGACACGGGCCAGUUCUCAGUGGAGCAGAAAACUCUGCGGUGCGGGGCGGCAGACAGCCCAGCGCGCCUUCCUCCAGGCAAGGCCCACCCGGCCUGCAGGUCUCAGCCAGGCCCUGACAGUCUCUCCAAGCUCGGGAAUUCACCCACGAAAUCCGUCCCUCCUUUACAGCUAAUUUCCCUGACCUCGAAGGACAGGCCUUCUUUCUCUGCUUCGGCUGCAAACCAAGGACCAGAGAAAGCGGAGUGGGACCCCAGCUUGGAGCAGACGCAGGAGACAGGAAGAAGAGCCGAGGGAAAAUGCUGGAACCAACCUCCUGUCCUGGUUCCGCCGGGUCUCCAGUCUUCAUCAUGGCCACGUCCCAUGGUACCCCCCUCCGCAGCAGCGUGGGCAGUCUUCCAUCACCCAAAGCCCUUGCCCUCCAGUGAGUAAAGCGGCGCCUUGCCGCCUUAAUGGACGUUUUACCAACUUCUUGUGAUUCUGAGCACCUUUAAGUACUUACUGGCCCUUUGAACUUGUUCUGCAAACUGACAUUUCAGUAACCUGUGCCCAUCAUUUUCCAAUGCGUUGCUUCCUUCAUGCCACUUUGUAAAAGUUCUCUACGCCUGCAAAUACGAUCACUUCAGCCCUUUGUCUGUGAGCCAGGUUUCCCGUAUUCCUUGCAAAUCUGCUGGUUGCCUCCUGGCUUUGUUCGUAGACUCUGUGGAGAGAGAAUGCAGCCCUUGACGAAGGGCCACGGUCCGGCACCUCUCUGCCUCCCAAACGCUGAGUCACCUGAGGCAAUUCACUCGUGCAAUGAGAAGACAGUGUUUGUGCAAGGAUAGGGACUCAGGGAAGGAAAAACCCAAGCACAGAGCACACGGCGUUCCUGUGACUCACGAACGGAAAAACAACACCGCAGCUCAUGUUCAAGGCACCUGCUCCGGUUGCAACUCGAAUUCACUGAGUGACCCCUCUCGAACCCGUAAGGGGAAGGUGUUCACGGUACCCUCACUUCACAGGCUCAGAGGCUGCAGGUGUCCCAAGACCACCCAGGGGGAGUCGAGCUCCAGGGACGCUGUUCAUCAAAGCCUUGGCUUGAGAGCUCUCCUUCUCCCCACCCACCUCCCCAUCCCCGUCUCAAUCAGAGCUGAGGCCAGGACAUUUCUGGGGGCAAAGGAGGGGGCGGUCGUUUGGCAGGGCCCGUUUGACCCCAGUGAGGUCUGGCCUGUCCCACCUCCGGGGUCUUUGAAUUGAGGAUCUCACACGGCAGCCUCUCUCUGGCCAGGUGUGACAAAUGGCAGCACUCGAGUCCCAGGCUUUCCCUGUGAGUCAUGCGUGGGCAGUUCCUGAGGCCUGGAGUUCGGUGCCCCGGGCCUGAGGGGCCUGGAGCCACGAGGCGCCGGCGUGGAGCUCCGGGCAGGUGCUCUACACCGCUCCGGGUCAGUCUUCUCCCCUCCCAGCAGCACCAGGACUCGGUUAUCACGCCGUCGUCUGUUUACGUGGAUCAGACACGCACCGAACACCUGCCACGUGGGGGACACUCUGCUCAACGGCAGGGACAAAGGGACGAGCUGCCUUCCAGCGCAGUCACCCUGCAGGCCAGCUGACCGUCCUGGACAUCACUCCACUGUCCCCUCCCCUGGACAACCUCUCUGACCGCAGAGCACUUGCUGUUUCCACGGAAUCACACUCCCUCAUGAUGAAAGCCAUUAAAUAAAGCCACUUAUGAGCAGUUUA